rnacentral:rRNA from 1 species
UAAAUCAGUUAUCGUAUAUUUGAUAGUACCUACUACAUGGAUAACCGUGGUAAUUCUAGAGCUAAUACAUGCUUAAAAUCCCGACUUCGGAAGGGAUGUAUUUAUUAGAUUAAAAACCAAUGCCCUUCGGGGCUCACUGGUGAUUCAUAAUAACUUCUCGAAUCGCAUGGCCUUGUGCCGGCGAUGGUUCAUUCAAAUUUCUGCCCUAUCAACUUUCGACGGCUGGGUCUUGGCCAGCCGUGGUUACAACGGGUAACGGAGGGUUAGGGCUUGACCCCGGAGAAGGAGCCUGAGAGACGGCUACUACAUCCAAGGAAGGCAGCAGGCGCGCAAAUUACCCAAUCCCGACUCGGGGAGGUAGUGACAAUAAAUACUGAUACAGGGCUCUUUUGGGUCUUGUAAUUGGAAUGAGUACAAUUUAAAUCCCUUAACGAGGAACAAUUGGAGGGCAAGUCUGGUGCCAGCAGCCGCGGUAAUUCCAGCUCCAAUAGCGUAUAUUAAAGUUGUUGCAGUUAAAAAGCUCGUAGUUGAACCUUGGGCCUGGCUGGCCGGUCUGCCUCACCGCAUGCACUGGUCCGGCCGGGCCUUUCCCUCUGGGGAGCCGCAUGCCCUUCACUGGGUGUGUCGGGGAACCAGGACUUUUACUGUGAAAAAAUUAGAGUGUUCAAAGCAGGCAUAUGCUCGAAUACAUUAGCAUGGAAUAAUAGAAUAGGACGUCGCGGUUCUAUUUUGUUGGUUUCUAGGACCGCCGUAAUGAUUAAUAGGGACAGUCGGGGGCAUCAGUAUUCAAUCGUCAGAGGUGAAAUUCUUGGAUCGAUUGAAGACUAACUACUGCGAAAGCAUUUGCCAAGGAUGUUUUCAUUAAUCAGGAACGAAAGUUAGGGGAUCGAAAACGAUCAGAUACCGUUGUAGUCUUAACCAUAAACUAUGCCGACUAGGGAUCGGGCGGUGUUAUUUCUUGACCCGCUCGGCACCUUACACG